rnacentral:rRNA from 1 species
GUGGGGGAUAUUGCACAAUGGGGGAAACCCUGAUGCAGCAACGCCGCGUGAAGGAAGAAGGUCUUCGGAUUGUAAACUUUUGUCUUGCGGGACGAAUAAUGACGGUACCGCAGGAGGAAGCCACGGCUAACUACGUGCCAGCAGCCGCGGUAAUACGUAGGUGGCGAGCGUUGUCCGGAAUUACUGGGUGUAAAGGGUGCGUAGGCGGAUUUGCAAGUCAGGUGUGAAAACUAUCGGCUUAACCGGUAGCCUGCACUUGAAACUGUAAGUCUUGAGUGGUGAAGAGGUAAGCGGAAUUCCUAGUGUAGCGGUGAAAUGCGUAGAUAUUAGGAGGAACACCAGUGGCGAAGGCGGCUUACUGGGCACUAACUGACGCUGAGGCACGAAAGCAUGGGGAGCAAACAGGAUUAGAAACCCCGGUAGUCC